rnacentral:rRNA from 1 species
AUUGAACGCUAGCGGGAUGCUUUACACAUGCAAGUCGAACGGCAGCGCGGACUUCGGUCUGGCGGCGAGUGGCGAACGGGUGAGUAAUGUAUCGGAACGUGCCCAGUAGCGGGGGAUAACUACGCGAAAGCGUAGCUAAUACCGCAUACGCCCUACGGGGGAAAGCAGGGGAUCGUAAGACCUUGCACUAUUGGAGCGGGCGAUAUCGGAUUAGCUAGUUGGUGAGGUAACGGCUCAACAAGGCGACGAUCCGUAGCUGGUUUGAGAGGACGACCAGCCACACUGGGACUGAGACACGGCCCAGACUCCUACGGGAGGCAGCAGUGGGGAAUUUUGGACAAUGGGGGCAACCCUGAUCCAGCCAUCCCGCGUGUGCGAUGAAGGCCUUCGGGUUGUAAAGCACUUUUGGCAGGAAAGAAACGUCGCGGGCUAAUACCCCGUGGAACUGACGGUACCUGCAGAAUAAGCACCGGCUAACUACGUG